rnacentral:rRNA from 1 species
UGAUCCUGGCUCAGGAUGAACGCUAGCGGCAGGCUUAACACAUGCAAGUCGAGGGGUACAUGUAGCUGCUACAGAUGACGACCGGCGCACGGGUGCGUAACGCGUAUAGAACUUACCUUUUACAGAGGGAUAGCCUUUAGAAAUGAAGAUUAAUACCUCAUAGUAUUAUUGAUUGGCAUCAAUUAAUAAUUAAAGAUUUAUCGGUAAAAGAUGGCUAUGCGUCCUAUUAGCUAGAUGGUAAGGUAAUGGCUUACCAUGGCUACGAUAGGUAGGGGCCCUGAGAGGGGGAUCCCCCACACUGGUACUGAGACACGGACCAGACUCCUACGGGAGGCAGCAGUGAGGAAUAUUGGGCAAUGGAGGUAACUCUGACCCAGCCAUGCCGCGUGCAGGAAGACUGCCCUAUGGGUUGUAAACUGCUUUUAUACAGGAAGAAACACUCGUACGUGUACGAGCUUGACGGUACUGUAAGAAUAAGGACCGGCUAACUCCGUGCCAGCAGCCGCGGUAAUACGGAGGGUCCGAGCGUUAUCCGGAAUCAUUGGGUUUAAAGGGUCCGCAGGCGGUCAAUUAAGUCAGAGGUGAAAUCCCAUAGCUUAACUAUGGAACUGCCUUUGAUACUGGUUGACUUGAGUCAUAUGGAAGUAGAUAGAAUGUGUAGUGUAGCGGUGAAAUGCAUAGAUAUUACACAGAAUACCGAUUGCGAAGGCAGUCUACUACGUAUGUACUGACGCUCAUGGACGAAAGCGUGGGGAGCGAACAGGAUUAGAUACCCUGGUAGU